rnacentral:misc_RNA from 1 species
GCAAACUUGGUCAUUUAGAGGAAGUAAAAGUCGUAACAAGGUUUCCGUAGGUGAACCUGCGGAAGGAUCAUUAUCGAAGUUCUUUGGAGUUGAGCUGGCUGUUUCGGCAGCAUGUGCUUGCUUCAUUCUUCUUUUCCACCUGUGCACCUUUUGUAGGGCUAUGUACCUCUCGUGCGUUUGGGCUUUAUUGUCUAUUUCGUCGGAUAUCAGAGGGGCUUUCUCGGCCCCUUUGUACUUCAUAGUCCCUAUGUUUUAUACACUCGUUAAAAACCUAGAAUGUCUUUGUGGGUCUUGUACCUAUAAACUUAUACAACUUUUAACAACGGAUCUCUUGGCUCUCGCAUCGAUGAAGAACGCAGC